rnacentral:tRNA from 1 species
UCCGACGAAGCUGAAAUCAGCACACCACUGUUAAUGGUGAGGUUGGGUAUUCCCCGUCAGAA